rnacentral:tRNA from 1 species
AUUUAGUUUAGUAGAAAAAACAUUCGACUUGCAAUCAAAAGACCUGGGUUUAACCCCCAGAAAUCACA